UACGGAGAGUGCAAGCGUUGUUCGGAAUUACUGGGCGUAAAGCGCGUGUAGGCGGCCGCGUAAGUCCGACGUGAAAGCCCGGGGCUCAACCACGGAAUUGCGUUUGAUACUGCUUAGCUUGAGUACAGGAGAGGAAAGCGGAAUUCCCAGUGUAGCGGUGAAAUGCAUUGAUAUUGGGAAGAACAUCUGUGGCGAAGGCGGCUUUCUGGUCUGUUACUGACGCUGAGAUACGAAAGCCAGGGUAGCGAACGGG
rnacentral:rRNA from 1 species